UACGGAGGGUGCAAACGUUGCUCGGAAUCAUUGGGCGUAAAGCGCACGUAGGCGGCCUGUUAAGUCGGAUGUGAAAGCCCCGGGCUCAACCCGGGAAGUGCAUACGAAACUGGCAGGCUUGAAUAUGGAAGAGGGUCGCGGAAUUCCCGGUGUAGAGGUGAAAUUCGUAGAUAUCGGGAGGAACACCAGUGGCGAAGGCGGCGACCUGGGCCAAUAUUGACGCUGAGGUGCGAAAGCCAGGGGAGCAAACGGG
rnacentral:rRNA from 1 species